UCUUCUUUCAUGAGAGAACUCCAUGAAGACAGCAGCCAGAUCUCCUGCCUUUCACACAGACAGAUCAGUUUCAAUGUGGCUUUAUAACCUGACAGAGCUAAAGAUGGGCUACUGGUCUGAUAGACCCCACUCAAUGAGACCCUAAUAAAAAGCUACAAAGAGCAUGCGACUCUGACUCCUCGUAUCUGAAGUAGAAUAAAAACAUAAAAGCUCACCUCAGCUCAUGGAGAUUUUAUAUUCAGUACCUUCCAGACACUCAGCUAUGCAGACAACUGAUUAACCCUCCUCAUCUAAUCAAGUGAAAGGUUCCUAUAUUAAAACUAAAUGGCAAAUGCUCAGCUUCACUUGGUGUCUUUAAGACAUGGAAGGAAGUGUCCUCUUCAGUGAUAAGCCGCGUGGUGUAACUCAUUGAGACUAUGUGAGAAGCAGAUGAAAGAGAAGUGCAGCCUGCUGAAGUGCUGAGCUUCAGGAAGUGACAGAGAGCUGCUGCUGUUGCUGCUGUUGCCCUCCUAUGGCUGACCAUGGCUACCUGGGUGUUUCAGAGAAGCCCAGUGGUAACAGGGAUGGAGUGCUACAGGCACAAGCUGCUAAGAACUGAGCCUUCCACUACAAACACCAGAAGCCUCAGCCAAGAGUCGAAGGACAUCAUCCCUAGCUUGGAACACUGAACACGAUAAGAGGGUGCCCCAUUGUGUUGAAGGCUCAGGAGCCCCUGAGAAAGUUCUGUCCUGUGUAAGAUCCCUAAGGUUUCCUCAUGACCAAAGGGACACGUUCCCAUCCUAGUCAUGAAUAAUGAUAUAAAAAGUAGAGGCCCAGGCUAAGAUGUUGCUAUAGUUUGACUGUCCCUACCAAAACUCAUGUUGAGGUUUAAUGCCCAUUGUGAAGUAAUAGACAGUGGGGACUUUAAUAAAUGACUAGGACACAAAGACUCAGCUUUCACGAAUAAUGUUAAAUACAUCCUUCUGUUCACACAUUAAUGGUUCUCUCAAUAGUAAGUCUGUUGUAAUAUCAAUCUGACACUGGAUUUUGUGCCCUGUUGUGAAAACUUUCCCUGGGGAAACAAGAACAAAUAUUUAUGUACCCUAGAGAAGGCAACCAUGACAGACCAAAGUAACAAUUCCACCUGAGUCUCGCUUGAAGCAAUGAGUUUUCUGGACUUACUUAUGAACAUGGGUGUACUCAACAAACCUGAGGCAGGAUCAUCUGGGAGAUCCUACACCCAUUCUGAAACCUACUGAAUCAGGUCCCAGAUCAACCGGACAGUCACACUUGUUUGGGGUAUGUGGUCCUGGUAGCUUCUUGUACAUAUGUAACAACUCCCAUCAGCGCAUAGGAGCAUUUCCAGGCACAGUUGCAGGUCCCUGUGUUGCUCUACAGCUCAGCUAGCCUGGGCUUCCUAAGAAGGUUUCCACAGCUGCCACUGCCAACUUCUUGGCUCCUGCUCUUCUAUCUCACCCUGCAGAAGAUCUGUAGACAUGGAUACAGAUUCAUCCAGGCUGAUCAGGGCUGUCUUUCAGAGUGGCAAGACUGGAAAAAGUGGUUGAGAGACCGACUGAGUCCAGUCCGUGGCACCUGUUUGCUUUUAUUCUGACUGUUCCAGACUCAAGAUUACUUCUCAUGCUUUGUGAGCUGUACUCAUCAGUGUCUGAGCCUGUCCAAGUCGGUUCUGAGGAGAAGAUCAAGUCCCUACAUCAGAGAAGCUCCAGAGGGAUUCAAGGAGAACUGGGGGCUGCCAGGGGGACCAGGGCAGUGUGGGACUCAAGUAGUACUCCUGGGAAGAGCUUGGGAUAGAGUUAUGUCUGCACAAUGAAAGGGGAACAAGCCACUUUUAGCAGGUGGGCAUAUUCAAGAACUACUUGUGUAGUCAGGGCUGAGGGGCUCAUCUAUUUGUGCCAGGGGAAGCAGGACCAUUCUGGGAUGUCCAGUUCAAAAUAAGUAAAAUAUAGGUCAAGGGUUGGGGUCUAAAAGUCAGAGAACAAGGGGGCACCAGAUGGCUACCUACAGCAUAAUUUUCUAAUUCCAUUGCACAUCAGAAUCUACUGGCGUCUUGCUAAACAUGAACUGGAUUUGGUUGCUUGAGUUCUGCACUCACAGUAAAUUCUUAGGUUGUGGCAGGUGCUGCUAGCUUAUGUGUAUCCUACCACUCUUACCCUAUCAAGGAUCCAGGGUAGAGGGCAAGAUGUUAUGCAUCAGGGUUUCAAGAAACUAGGGAAGCCUCAUUCCCUCCAACCUGAGCAAUAACACCAUUACUGCCCAACAGCUGUGGAGAAGACACAUCCACCUGUGGCCUGGGAACCCCCAAAGCCUGCCAUUAACCCCAGAGAAGGGCCAAGCAGCUUGCUGCUGAAUGAGGCUCAGGUCAUGAAGAUUCUAAAUGGUUGCAGAAAAUUAUUGAACAGAAAUCAAGACGAUUCAUAUCUGUUGGUCAAAGAAAUACAUCUUUAAAAAUGAAAAACAUUCAUUAGCUCCCUUAUGGCGAGUGCAUGGAGUGCAUUUCCCUCAUCCAAAAGGAGCCAGGUUAACUAACAGAGUUUACGAGGAGUUCCUACUGCCCUCUUCUAGCUUCUGGGAAAGCAAUAGGAAAGAGAUGAUUCCCCCAGGCUGAUAGGCUGCUUUCCUGGGCCUCUAUAUUCUCUCUCAUCACUGGGAACAAAUACCUAAAAGGCACAAUUUAACAAAGGAAAGGUUUACAGAGGCUCAGAGUUUCAGACUACACUGCAGAGUCGGUGGCAAUGUAAGUGUGAGCCAGAGGCUCCUCACUUCUUGGUGCAUCAGGACACUGAGACCAGAUCCAGAAGCAGGACCAGGCUAGGACUCUCAAAACCUGCCCCCAGUAGCCUGCAUGUGCGCCUAGGCCCCCUGACUUCCAGAUAGUGCCUCAAGCUGGGGACCAGGUAUUCAAAGACCUGGGGGGGAUAUUUUACACCCAAAUGUUAACUAACUGCUGUGGCAGUUUAUGUGCCUACUUAACUAGGCCAUAGUCACUUGUAGUCCAGUUGCACACUAGGGUAGGUAUGAAAAAAGCAUUUUGUAACUGUGAAGAUGUCUAACAUCUGCAGUCAGCUGUCUUUAAGGAAACGAAUUGCAAGUUUCUCUAAAGGAACUUCAGCUGCCAAACUACUAACUGCUCGAGUUAGUAGUACUAACUACUAACUACAAACUGUUGAGUUCAGGCCUGCUAGUCUCCACAAUUCCCAUUCCCACCCCCAGGCCAAUUCCUGGAAAUAAAUCUUCUUAGUAUACAGAAUCCACCUUCAUUAUUCAUGGGCCUGUAUUUGUGAAUCUGAGCAGUUAAAUUCAUGUGUAAUCCAGAAACCGAUGUGUGCUUCUUUUGUGUAACCAUUUACAAACGUGUCUGGAAUGGGGCAGAUGAGACACUCAGUGUGCACAUUUCCCUGUGAGGCCCAGUGAGACAAUGAUUUCUCCUUUGAUUUCUCAAAGCUGUAAAAGGAUUCUUCUGGUGGUCCCCUUAACCCCACAAUUUUCCAUUUUUCUGGACGGUAUCACUGUUUGGAAUAACCCUUAAGUACAGUGUUGACACGGUGUCUAAUGUUCUUAAGACUGGAAGACAGUGAUGUGCCUUAUGGGGAACAUAUGUGUUGGAUGGUCUUCACUCAAGCAUGAGAUGCAGUGCUGGCUAUGAAUUCAAAGCUACUGAGCCAAUACAUUAAGUAAGGCAUCUUUAAAGAGAAAUACACAUAAAACAAGGUUGUUGAAAAUGUGACCAGGAAUUCCCAGGAACCUAACCCUUUAUUUUCCCCAGGAGCAAUGGCCCAAUAAUUGCUAGUUCAAUGUUUAUAGAGCAUAACUACCGUGGAAUCAGUUCUCGCUCUCUCUUUCUCUCUCUCUCUUGUGUGUGUGUGUCUGCGCUCGCGCAUGUCCUACUGAUGUGAUGUGAUGCCGUUCAUCACCAGUGUGUGAAAAGCACAGACAAUAAGCCUCUUUCUGUCUUAUUCCUGACAAUGCCCUGCAGGAGGAGGACAGACAUCUAUGGAGGGAGGAAGUCCAUGUACUUACCUCUAAUACAUGUGAAUGGUUCCUUUUCCUUACUAGAUCAUGUUUCAGAAGAUAAAAUUAUUUGAGUGUGUCUCCAUCUUCUCAACACACUGAGAGCUAGGCUAGACUAGGUAAUAAGUGGGCUGUGUUUCAGUAUUUGUAAUGUAAUUUAAGGGGCUACUUUCCUAAUGUAAACCAAUUAUGUAUACUCUAACUUGAGCAUU